CAUUAUUCAGACACAUCGCGCAUGCGUGAGACGAAUUAUGCAAAUUAGGGUGGAAUGUUAUUGGUUGAACGAAAGUAUCAGUGUGACGUCAGAGUGAUACUUUCGUUCGACUGUGAUGACGACACAAUUCGCAUGUACACCUGAUAUUAUCGUGAGCCAUUUUUGCACUCAAUGACCUUCAUACAGUUGUGUGAAUUCAUAUUUUUGCAUCCAAAGUACGCAAGAGGGUUUCUCUCCGCCGUGCAUGGCUCGAGUAUAUUCUGUGACCCGGGUUGGCGCCGGGGCCGUUGAUAGAACAGGCUGCAUAUCCCGUCGUCCCUCAUUGGCUGCUCUGGCCUCGAUCGAUAAAUUAUCUGACUAUGAGAAACGCUGGUCACCUUGACGUGGGCAGACAACUUACUUCAAUAACAUCUUUUUGAGAACUUAGCGGUAUGACCAUAAACGCUAAAGAAUUACAUCAUAACGCCGAUCACCGGCAAGACCCAUCGUCCUUUCCAACUCGCACUGGUGAGCUAUAUUUAGACUCCAAAUUCGCUUGAAAAUGCCGGAUUGGUAGAUCCAUGCAGAUGUCAGCGGUAAAUGGGUCACGCUUGUGAGCCAUUACGCACCGUUCAGACUGUAAUCAAACGGCCUUUUCCUUUUCUGCGUGCGUUGUGGCGGGGAAGAUAAAUUCACCCCAGAAGCCAUUAUUGCAUAUUUAUCUAUGUAAACGGUGCAAAUGAUAUUUGUAAAUAUCAUAUUUGCAAAUGUGGUUUGUGGUUAUAUGCCAGUGCUUUCCGUGAUAAAUAAUUCAAACGGAGUAAUGUUUUUAUGAACUCAUUUAUAGUUCUCAUAAAUAUACUUAUUCCACUAUACUCAAAAUGGAAUCAGGUCAUUGACUUGAUGAGUAUUCUUUACCGAAAUGUGAUAUUUCUACGGCAUUAAAAUCAAUGAGUUCAUUUGCUGUCGUAGUUAUUCACGUGACAUUCUGUAACAUUCUUCAUCUUAAGUAACACUUCAUUAAAUAUAUGUAGGGCCAUAUCACGUUUUAUUUUAUCGAUUAAGUAUAUAGAAGAACUUGGUACAGCUGUCUUUGUAGACUAUAUUUUCUCCCAUUAUACGAGGACAGUGGUUCAAGGUAGAACUGAAAACAACCAUAUUAUUUCUGGGUAAGCUACUAAAUGUGUGUUAUGAAAGAGUAAACAUGGCUGCUACAGUGGUUCGGAAUACAACUGAAAACGUAACCGUAUUAUUUCUGGAUGUGCUACUAAUUAGGUGAUGUUAUGAAAGAAUACAACACAUUUCUAAAAGUUUGUCUUUCUGUAAAUAUUACUAAAGUCACUUUUCACCAAAGUAUAUCUCAAACUUUGUUCGUUGUCUGUUUGCUCAAACUGUAAUGGAAAAGGCGAUCUCGGUUUGCAGUCGUUCGUAAUUGUGUGUAACGUCGCCAUUAUUCCUAUGAUGGUCAUAUUGUAAUUAUCAUUUUGUUGAAGUCUGGAGAAGAGCCCUUUCUCCGGGCACUGUCACUGACGUCGUGGUUCUCAAUCGAUUUGUUACUAUUAUGGAUAAGGCGUCGCCCCAAACACCGUUGGUUGGGCCAAAAAUUAGCAAACCUUGUCACAAAAAUUUUAACUUCUGAAUUUGAAACCUGUCUAUUUGACUGUUUCAACGCGCAUCACAGCAUCUGUAUCAACAUAAAGUUCCACACUUCGGAUGCGAGAGUAUUUAUUGUACGCGAAUGUAUUGUAUGUCAAAUUUAUAUAUACUUCUGACUUUAAAGGCCACGCGAUUUGCCCGUUUCGAAAAAAAUAUUUCUUUUUCUAACAUAAAGUAGGAAAUCGAUAGGCUAUAUGUCUUCCAGUAUAUGUACAGGAUACACAGUUUUACACCGGUACGUCACAAAGCUACACCGGCCCAUGCACCAAGUAUCCACCAUUCAGUAAUCACAGGGCAGUCAAGUAAUUGCCUAGUUUAUUUCUUGCUAGACUUAAGGUAGACAAUGGUAUUUUUCUUGGUUGUAUAGUUUCUUUAUAACCUGCGAGCAUAUUCCAUAGCCAUUUAAGCUUGUUUUCUCAAAUAAUUGUCUAUUUAAAUAAAUACGUGGUCACAUGGACCGUUUGUGUUCGGGCAAAGGUUUUGAUGGGCCAGGAUACAGGCAAGAACCUGAUUGGUUGCUUCCGGAUCGCGCCACGGGAAAUAGUCGCGUGAUCCAGAUUGUCUUUCUCCCAGCCGUGACGCGUCACCAGUCGGUGCAAGUCACGGCUGCUGCGCGAGGUCGUGGAUGUUUAGUAAAGUCAAGGUCGCGCUGAGGUCGUGUAGAUAUGUUCAGAACAUGCUGAUACACGUUGUCGAAUAUUUACGUUCACAGGAAACAUCCUGUACCUUAUUAUCUUAUCCAAACUUGCGUAGUUGAGAUGUUCAUGACACGUCUGGACAUAUCGUUCCAUCACGAAUAAAUGUGUUGUAACGCA